rnacentral:rRNA from 1 species
UACGGGGGGAGCAAGCGUUGUUCGGAUUUACUGGGCGUAAAGGGCGCGUAGGCGGUCGUGACAAGUCACUUGUGAAAUCUCCGGGCUUAACUCGGAACGGUCAAGUGAUACUGUCGGACUAGAGUACAGAAGGGGCAACUGGAAUUCUCGGUGUAGCGGUGAAAUGCGUAGAUAUCAGGAGGAACACCGAUGGCGAAGGCAGGUCUCUGGGCCACUACUGACGCUGAGAAGCGAAAGCAUGGGGAGCGAACAGG